AUCUCAUCCAUCCGGAGAAACACGCUGUCAUUGGGACUCCGCUGGCCAUCAGAUUUGCUGCCUGUGUGAAUAGAAGGGCCAUCAGCAGUUAGAACCAAGACAAUUGAUCAGCUUUUUCAGGACCAUUUAAGGAUGAGGACAAAGUAGUCGACGGGUUUGUUCCUCUGGAAGAGGUAGUGCUGCGCAGCGUGUUUGUUCUUGGGGUUGAACUUGAGUUCUUGCACCACACUGGGAUGCUUGAUGAGACGGAGCAGGAUCUUCUCUGACAGGUCCCCAUUGGAUCACAUGACCUACCUGUAGCCAAGAAGCGAUGUGUUGCAAGCAACAACUGAGGGGAGAGCUUCACAUUCAGUUCAUUUUCUGCUACUUUGAAGAUGGAAAAGUCCUGCUGUUUCCUCUCGUGGUGCGAUACUCGCCUUUUGGUGCGAUUAUCAGCUGCGAAAGACACAUAUGGCGAAGCCAGACUUGAUGAUCUCUUCGAUGACGUCCUCCAGGGUGACGAUGCCCAUCACCUCAUAGAAGGGGUCACCCUCGCCUUCGUUGUUGACCCGCUGCACCACAGCUAGGUGGGAUUUGCCUGCGUUGAUCACAAAAUUUGAAAAGAUGAUGCUGUAUGGGUACAUUUGUACAUUUUAAUAAUUUUGAAUUUACAUUUCAUUAUUUUGGGAUAGAAAAUACUUUUAUUUUAUUGUGAAAGUAAAUGGGAUAAAGUCCAAUCUCUGUCCAAAUAAUAUGGGGGUACCACAGGGAUUAGUUUUAUGUCCACUACAGUUUCAAAGUACAUAUUUAAAUUAGUGGUACAGAAAAUGGACGGAUGGAUUAAAUUAUAAUUGCUUAGCCCCACCAAACUGUCAUUGUCAUAACAUUUUUUAAAGUAACAGUUUUACAUUCUUAACUGCCAUACAAUUGCUGGUGUAAGAAUUAAACACUCUAACAGAUACGCUGGAAAAAAGUAUUGAGACACCACUGGGGUCUUACUGCUGUGUAAUUUUUGCCUUAAACGUUCCAAAAUAUAACCUCCUGGUUCGACUUUAGAGGUUCCAAUUACAUACGUGUGCGAUUGCUAAUUAUUCUUCCAAGACAAUGUUGUCAUGCAACAGACUAAGAAUAAGCCUGCUUGAAAAUGAGCAUUAAUGCAGCUGCAGGAACCGUAUCACAUAUGCGAGCUUCCACAUGAUAUUCUUUCAACUCUUUCAUGCCUUUCAAGAGUCAGACAAGACGUCAUUGGGUAUUUGAGGGUUUAGCCUGGAGAUGCUUUGGCACUUUGGGAAGAUUUGGCUGCUGCUCUUACGUAAAGCAUUAUUAUGCAAUCAGUCCGACGACGGCUGCAUCUGCCAACUCUUUUUUUAAACACUGCCCAAAAACACUAUGACAGCAUGAAAUCAACCUAGUCAAACAUUAUAAGCAUCAAGUGUGCACAAUAUUCCAAACAUGCUGCACAAAAAUGUGAUUUUUGGAGGGGCUGUUGUAUGCUGUCCAAAUAGGUUAUCUAAGCAUUUGCCAGUAGAGACACUAGACACAUAUCUAGCCUCUACUGAGCCAGUUCAUACGAGAUUUAGAGCGAUCACUAGUGAGGGAUCAAACCUUUUAAUCCCCUGUGAACUAUACACGACCCACAUUUGGAUGGUCUACCCAUGCAAUUCUCAAGAACAAUCAAAUCU